AUUGAACGCUGGCGGCAGGCCUAACACAUGCAAGUCGAGCGGAUGAAGGGGGCUUGCUCCUGGAUUCAGCGGCGGACGGGUGAGUAAUGCCUAGGAAUCUGCCUGGUAGUGGGGGAUAACGUCCGGAAACGGGCGCUAAUACCGCAUACGUCCUGAGGGAGAAAGUGGGGGAUCUUCGGACCUCACGCUAUUAGAUGAGCCUAGGUCGGAUUAGCUAGUUGGUGGGGUAAAGGCCUACCAAGGCGACGAUCCGUAACUGGUCUGAGAGGAUGAUCAGUCACACUGGAACUGAGACACGGUCCAGACUCCUACGGGAGGCAGCAGUGGGGAAUAUUGGACAAUGGGCGAAAGCCUGAUCCAGCCAUGCCGCGUGUGUGAAGAAGGUCUUCGGAUUGUAAAGCACUUUAAGUUGGGAGGAAGGGCAGUAAGUUAAUACCUUGCUGUUUUGACGUUACCAACAGAAUAAGCACCGGCUAACUUCGUG
rnacentral:rRNA from 1 species